GAUGAACGCUAGCUACAGGCUUAACACAUGCAAGUCGAGGGGCAGCAUGGGGUUUGCUUGCAAACCCUGAUGGCGACCGGCGCACGGGUGAGUAACGCGUAUCCAACCUUCCCGUCACUCGGGGACAGCCCAGCGAAAGCUGGAUUAACCCCCGAUGUUGUCAUAUGAUAGCAUUAGAGUGUGACGAAAGGCUAACGGUGACGGAUGGGGAUGCGUCUGAUUAGGUAGUAGGCGGGGUAACGGCCCACCUAGCCGACGAUCAGUAGGGGUUCUGAGAGGAAGGUCCCCCACAUUGGAACUGAGACACGGUCCAAACUCCUACGGGAGGCAGCAGUGAGGAAUAUUGGUCAAUGGGCGAGAGCCUGAACCAGCCAAGUAGCGUGCAGGAUGACGGCCCUACGGGUUGUAAACUGCUUUUAUAAGGGAAUAAAGUGGGUCUCGUGAGACUUUUGCAUGUACCUUAUGAAUAAGGACCGGCUAAUUCCGUG
rnacentral:rRNA from 1 species